rnacentral:lncRNA from 1 species
CUGGAGCUGAACUCUAACCUCUACUAAAAUUAAACGAAUCAAACCUAAACUUAUUGAUGUUCGACUAGGCUCAUCUCGGUUCAAUUACAGCCAUAUUCCCGGUGCUCCACAACUCUAAACUUCAUGGAGUAACUCGUCCGCUUCUUCAAUUCUAGACGCUGCAUUUUUCCCAACUUCUGUUAUUUCAACGAAUAUAGUCAAUAUGAAGUUAGAAGAAGUGCUAAAAUUGAAAGCUUUACAAUAAUAACAGAAACACUAAAUAAAGUGAGAAGGAAAAGUUGAAAGUUUUAAACUAAAUAGAAUUUUGAUUUUCCAUUUUUUUACAAUUUGAUAAUUCGUAAUUGUAAUAUUUUAAUUAUUAAGUGAAUGAUAUUUAUAGAAAUAUUAAUUUUUUAUUGUUUCCAUCUGUGAAUAGUCUAAAAGACAACCCGUGAAGUUAUGGGGGCAAUUAUGUAUUUCCAAUAUGAGUAAUGACAAUUUUAAGUAGAUUUAAAUAUAUAACGAGUCGUACUGAUAGAUUUCAAUUUUUUGGGAAACAAAGAAAGGGAAGGGAAGAAAGACUAGAAAUAUCUUUCAGUUAAAAAUAAGAGGAGAUCAGGUAAACAAAACAUCUGAUGAGUGAUGUAGUUGAAAAUAUCCAUCAUCUUUCAAUUAUGAAAACAUAUAGACACACGCAUCAACAAGAAUGAAAUGAUAAAGCACUAGGUAGUUGGUGGUGGUGGUGGUGGUGGUGAUGAUAANNNUGCCAGUGACAAAUAUUUGCUUCUAGAAAGAAGAAAAAAGUAUAUAAGAUAUAUAUGCCAACAACCCACCAAAGUCAUGGGAUUCAGAUUCU